rnacentral:misc_RNA from 1 species
GCAACAUUAAUUUAUUCAGAACAACAAUAUGACUAUACCUCUAAUAACUUGGGAGUAUUAUUUCUUUCUUCGUAGAAACCUGGGGAUAUUAUUUAUAGUAAAUUUCUAUCAAUUCUAGCUCUAACAAGUUUGCUUCUAAUUGAAUGCAAUUCAACUACCACCUCAUUGAUUCCCAUUCGUUCUUGAGGUAUUUCUGAUGAGCAAAUCACGCCAAUUCUAAGUAUAGAAAACAAGCAUUCCUGAAUUCUUUGACUCCAGGAAUUCAUUCUCAUUUCCAUUUCAUUUGUUUCCUGAAGCAGAAUAGGAUCUGCAAUUUCAGCCACUUGGUCAGGAAAUGCUGCCUUGGCGAAGUUGUGAAGGUUGAAAUCUUCUUUAAACAUGUCAUCAGUGGGCCUUUUCCCUGUGAACAAUUCUAAUAACAGGAUGCCAUAGCUAUAUACAUCUCCAUCUGUUGAAACCUUGCUUCCUACGCCAUACUCUGGAGGAGCAUACCCGAAAGUUCCUCGUAUCCCAAUUGAGCUUGAUUGACUGGUAGAAUAAUUGUUGGUGCAUUCUGUGAGAUUUUUGGCUAAGCCAAAGUCACUUACAUGUCCAUUCAUUUCACUGUCUAGAAGAACAUUGCUCGGCUUCAGGUCGCAAUGAACGAUAGGUAUCCUGCAUUGAUGAUGAAGAUAGUCCAAAGCAGAAGCCACAUCAAUGGCAGUAUUUAGCCUCUGAAGAAGAUUUAAGCUCUUUGUUGGCUCAUGAUUUUCUUCUUCUGUUCUAGGAAUUGGAUGCAACCAUUCCUCCAAGCUCCCGUUAACCAUGUACUCGUAAACCAAAGCCUUGAAAUCAUUACCU